rnacentral:rRNA from 1 species
AGUGAACGCUGGCGGUAGGCCUAACACUUGCAAGUCGAACGGCAGCACAGUAAGAGCUUGCUCUUACGGGUGGCGAGUGGCGGACGGGUGAGGAAUACAUCGGAAUCUACUUUUUCGUGGGGGAUAACGUAGGGAAACUUACGCUAAUACCGCAUACGACCUACGGGUGAAAGCAGGGGAUCUUCGGGCCUUGCGCGAUUGAAUGAGCCGAUGUCGGAUUAGCUAGUUGGCGGGGUAAAGGCCCACCAAGGCGACGAUCCGUAGCUGGUCUGAGAGGAUGAUCAGCCACACUGGAACUGAGACACGGUCCAGACUCCUACGGGAGGCAGCAGUGGGGAAUAUUGGACUAUGGGCGCAAGCCUGAUCCAGCCAUACCGCGUGGGUGAAGAAGGCCUUCGGGUUGUAAAGCCCUUUUGUUGGGAAAGAAAAGCAGCAGGUUAAUACCCCGCUGUUCUGACGGUACCCAAAGAAUAAGCACCGGCUAACUUCGUG